AGUGAACGCUGGCGGUAGGCCUAACACAUGCAAGUCGAACGGCAGCACAGUAAGAGCUUGCUCUUACGGGUGGCGAGUGGCGGACGGGUGAGGAAUACAUCGGAAUCUACUUUUUCGUGGGGGAUAACGUAGGGAAACUUACGCUAAUACCGCAUACGACCUACGGGUGAAAUCAGGGGAUCUUCGGACCUUGCGUGAUUGAAUGAGCCGAUGUCGGAUUAGCUAGUUGGCGGGGUAAAGGCCCACCAAGGCGACGAUCCGUAGCUGGUCUGAGAGGAUGAUCAGCCACACUGGAACUGAGACACGGUCCAGACUCCUACGGGAGGCAGCAGUGGGGAAUAUUGGACAAUGGGCGCAAGCCUGAUCCAGCCAUGCCGCGUGAGUGAAGAAGGCCUUCGGGUUGUAAAGCCCUUUUGUUGGGAAAGAAAAGCAGCAGGUUAAUACCCCGCUGUUCUGACGGUACCCAAAGAAUAAGCACCGGCUAACUUCGUG
rnacentral:rRNA from 1 species